rnacentral:rRNA from 1 species
GUCAGUGCUAAUGGCGAUGAGGAUCCACCUGUUCCCAUUCCGAACACAGAAGUUAAGCUCAUCAGUGCCGAAAAUACUUGGCGGGCGACUGCCUGGGAAGAUAGGGCGGUGCUGACA